rnacentral:rRNA from 1 species
UACGUAGGGUGCGAGCGUUAAUCGGAAAUUACUGGGCGUAAAGCGUGCGCAGGCGGCUUGCCAAGUCAGAUGUGAAAGCCCCGGGCUCAACCCGGGAACGGCGUUUGAAACUGGCAGGCUAGAGUUUGGCAGAGGGGGUGGAAUUCCGACGUGUAGCAGUGAAAUGCGUAGAGAGUGUGGAGGAACACCGAUGGCGAAGGCAGCCCCUGGGCCAAAACUGACGCUCAGGCACGAAAGCGUGGGGAGCAAACAGG